ACACUUUAAAUAGCCAGCACCUUUCUCUUCCCCUUUGGUUAAUUCUUCUCCCCUGACUGGACCUCAGGCAGCAACUUCACUAAGGUGGAAUGGAUAGCAGAGUCCCAGGCACAAGCAGUAAUGGGGAGACAAAACCAGUGUAUUCAAUCGUGGAAAAGGCGGAGGAAGACGGCACCCUGGAGCGGGGGCACUGGAACAACAAGAUGGAGUUUGUGCUGUCAGUGGCGGGGGAGAUCAUUGGCUUAGGCAACGUCUGGAGGUUUCCCUAUCUCUGCUACAAAAAUGGGGGAGGUGCCUUCUUCAUCCCCUACCUCAUCUUCCUCUUUACCUGUGGCAUUCCUGUCUUCCUUUUGGAAACGGCACUGGGCCAGUACACUAGCCAGGGAGGUGUCACAGCCUGGAGGAAGAUCUGUCCCAUCUUUGAGGGCAUUGGCUACGCCUCCCAGAUGAUUGUUGUCCUCCUCAACUUCUACUACAUCAUUGUUCUGGCCUGGGCCCUCUUCUACCUCUUCAGCAGCUUCACCAUUGACCUUCCCUGGGGCAGCUGCCACCACGAGUGGAAUACAGAACACUGUGUGGAGUUCCAGAAGACCAACAGCUCCCUGAACGUGACCUCCGAGAAUGCCACCUCCCCUGUCAUUGAGUUUUGGGAGCGGCGGGUCCUGAAGAUCUCCGAUGGCAUCCAGCAUGUGGGGGCCCUGCGCUGGGAGCUGGCCCUGUGCCUGCUGCUCGCCUGGGUCAUCUGCUACUUCUGCAUCUGGAAGGGGGUCAAGUCCACCGGCAAGGUGGUAUACUUCACGGCCACGUUCCCUUACCUCAUGCUGGUGGUCCUGUUAAUUCGAGGGGUGACACUGCCUGGAGCAGCCCAAGGAAUUCAGUUUUAUCUGUACCCAAACCUCACGCGUCUGUGGGACCCCCAGGUAUGGAUGGAUGCAGGCACCCAGAUCUUCUUUUCCUUCGCCAUCUGUCUAGGGUGCCUGACGGCCCUGGGCAGCUACAACAAGUACCACAACAACUGCUACAGGGACUGCAUUGCCCUCUGCUUCCUCAACAGCGGCACUAGCUUUGUGGCCGGGUUCGCCAUCUUCUCCAUCCUGGGCUUCAUGUCGCAGGAGCAGGGGGUGCCCAUUUCUGAGGUGGCUGAGUCAGGCCCCGGCUUGGCCUUCAUUGCCUACCCCCGGGCUGUGGUGAUGCUGCCCUUCUCUCCUCUCUGGGCCUGCUGCUUCUUCUUCAUGGUUGUCCUCCUGGGACUGGACAGCCAGUUUGUGUGUGUAGAAAGCCUGGUGACAGCACUGGUGGACAUGUACCCCUGUGUGUUCCGCAAGAAGAACCGGAGGGAGAGCCUCAUCCUUGGAGUGUCCCUCGUCUCCUUCCUCGUCGGGCUGGUCAUGCUCACAGAGGGUGGUAUGUACGUGUUUCAGCUCUUUGACUACUAUGCAGCCAGUGGCAUGUGCCUCCUGUUUGUGGCCAUCUUUGAGUCCCUCUGUGUGGCUUGGGUUUAUGGGGCCAAGCGCUUCUAUGACAACAUUGAAGAUAUGAUUGGGUACAGGCCAUGGCCUCUUAUCAAAUACUGUUGGCUCUUCUUCACACCAGCUGUGUGCACAGCCACCUUCCUCUUCUCCCUGAUCAAGUACACCCCGCUGACCUACAAUAAGAAGUAUACAUACCCGUGGUGGGGAGAUGCCCUGGGCUGGCUCCUGGCUCUGUCUUCCAUGGUCUGCAUCCCCGCCUGGAGCUUCUACAAACUGGGCACCCUCAAAGGCUCCUUCAGAGAGAGAAUCCGCCAGCUCGUGUGCCCAGCUGAGGACCUUCCCCAACGGAACCAAGCAGGAUCAUCUGUGCCUGCCACCCCUCAGACCUCCCUACUCACACUCACAGAAUUAGAGUCCCACUGCUAGGGGCAGGCCUCCAGAUGGCACCAUGAGCUGGUUGUGGGGCCAGCUGCAGGAGUAAGCUCUAUGGUCACUCCAUGGUGGACUGGCAUGUAGAGACAGGCUGCCCUGUCCUCGAUGUGUGUGGAUCCCAGCUGACCUUCACUGGACUUCUGGCUUCACAGAGGCAGUGAGUCUGAGAACUGUGACAUGAUCUGACUGUCUCUUGAUGGGGAAUCCCCCAGGAGAUGCUGAGAGGGGCCUGAGAGACAUUGAGAAGGGUUGCUGGAUGGAAAACUACAGAUAUGAUUCUCAUGUCACACCCCACCCCUGGGGGGAAAUUCUAAAGCACAAAGAGGAAGCACAUGUAAAGGGAAAUUUCCCUUUCUCCCCAUUACUUCCCCUCCCUCCACACCACCUGCAGCUGAAGAAACAUCUGUCUUUCAGGAGACAGUGGCUAUUCUGAUCAAAGAGCAGGGGGACGGUGCUGUGCCCACUACCACAUGGGCACACCCAGGGCAGCGAUGAGGGACAUGUUCUGGAGAAGCUCACUGGGCACACGGCACAGGGCACAUCUAUCCAACAGACACUGUUCACCACUGACAGCUGCCAAGCUGUUCCAGACAGACCCUGGCUAGAUGCUUGGUGGUGAGAGGGGACUAGAGCAUCACUAGUGCUGCCUGGGGCUGGACACUCCACCCUCCCUGCCCCUGUGUGCAGAGGACCAAUAGCAAACACUAAGAACUCCUCUUAAGCACCUGUGAUGCCCUAAGCACUCUAUCAUAUUGUCUUUAACCCUCAUGACAAAGCAGCUGUGUUAUCUACCUGUGAUAGAUGGGGAAGCUAAGGCUCAGAUCCUUACCUAGCUGACAUGACUGACAGAUGAUAGAGGAGAGGUUGAAACUUGGGUCUGUCUGACUGUAAACCUGUGUCCUUUCUACAUUAUACUUCUUGAGAGGUGCUCCGAGUGCUUUUCUAGGAAAAUCCCAAAGAGAAGUGUCGUGGUUGUGACAGCCUAGACUAGUGCCUUGAAGCCACAGAGGGCAGGUACUGAUGGAAAACUCCAGUGUGUGAUUCACCCUCCUCCCCUGCCCUCGUCAGUGAGGCCAGCUCCCCUCCCAGGAGUUUCCAGCCUGGGAGUUGGUGGCUCCUAUCUGCUGCUCCGGUAAGAGGGGGGUGUACCCUGCCUGUGCACCCCGACGCUCCUCCCUGAGAUGGAGAUAGGGCUGGGAGGGCCAUGGAGAGAAGGACCAGGACAGGAACAGCAAUUGGGAGUAGGGUGUGAGUUCCUGAGCCCCUUCUCCUGUCUGAGGGUCACCUCCUGUGCCUACUGGA